rnacentral:rRNA from 1 species
GUGGAUUAGAUACCCCAGUAGUCCACGCCCUAAACGAUGCUCACUAGGUGUUGGGGAAGCGAUUCCUUGGUACCGUAGCUAACGCGUGAAGUGAGCCGCCUGGGGAGUACGGCCGCAAGGUUAAAACUCAAAGGAAUUGACGGGGACCCGCACAAGCGGUGGAUGAUGUGGAUUAAUUCGAUGCAACGCGAACAACCUUACCUACCCUUGACAUGUCCGGGAGCCUGCUGAGAGGCGGGUGUGCCUGAAAGGGAACCGGAACACAGGUGCUGCAUGGCCGUCGCCAACU